GUCUACAGCCAUGCCACCCUGAAUGCGCCCGAUCUCGUCUGAUCUCGGAAGCUAAGCAGGGUAAGGCCUGGUUAGCACUUGGGUGGGAGACUGCCUGGGAAUACCGGGUGCUGUAGGCU
ensembl:rRNA 5S_rRNA 5S ribosomal RNA